GGAAAGUUGAUGCUUUUGCCGAGAAUCUGGUUAGUGGAUUAGACAGAAGCUGGCAAAGUCCUGCAGGAGUGAAAGCAAAACUCAUAGAUAGCAAAGCUUCUAAAGGGUUGUAUUACAUCGAGUACACUCUCCAAAAUCCCGGUGAAAGUCU